UGCAGUCGAGCGGAUGAGGGAGCUUGCUCCUGAAUUCAGCGGCGGACGGGUGAGUAAUGCCUAGGAAUCUGCCUGGUAGUGGGGGACAACGUUUCGAAGGGAACGCUAAUACCGCAUACGUCCUACGGGAGAAAGCAGGGGACCUUCGGGCCUUGCGCUAUCAGAUGAGCCUAGGUCGGAUUAGCUAGUUGGUGAGGUAAUGGCUCACCAAGGCGACGAUCCGUAACUGGUCUGAGAGGAUGAUCAGUCACACUGGAACUGAGACACGGUCCAGACUCCUACGGGAGGCAGCAGUGGGGAAUAUUGGACAAUGGGCGAAAGCCUGAUCCAGCCAUGCCGCGUGUGUGAAGAAGGUCUUCGGAUUGUAAAGCACUUUAAGUUGGGAGGAAGGGUUGUAGAUUAAUACUCUGCAAUUUUGACGUUACCGACAGAAUAAGCACCGGCUAACUCUGUGCCAGCAGCCGCGGUAAUACAGAGGGUGCAAGCGUUAAUCGGAAUUACUGGGCGUAAAGCGCGCGUAGGUGGUUCGUUAAGUUGGAUGUGAAAUCCCCGGGCUCAACCUGGGAACUGCAUCCAAAACUGGCGAGCUAGAGUAUGGUAGAGGGUGGUGGAAUUUCCUGUGUAGCGGUGAAAUGCGUAGAUAUAGGAAGGAACACCAGUGGCGAAGGCGACCACCUGGACUGAUACUGACACUGAGGUGCGAAAGCGUGGGGAGCAGACAAGAUUAGAUACCCUGGUAGUCCACGCCGUAAACGAUGUCAACUAGCCGUUGGGAGCCUUGAGCUCUUAUUGGCGCAGCUAACGCAUUAAGUUGACCGCCUGGUGAGUACGGCCGCAACGUUAAAACUCAAAUGAAUUGACGGGGGCGCGCACAACCGGUGGAGCAUGUGGUUUAAUUCUAAGCAACGCGAAGAACCUUACCAGGCCUUGACAUCCAAUGAACUUUCCAGAGAUGGAUUGGUGCCUUCGGGAACAUUGAGACAAGUGCUGCAUGGCUGUCGUCAGCUCGUGUCGUGAGAUGUUGGGUUAAUUCCCGUAACGAGCGCAACCCUUGUCCUUAUUUACUAGCACGUUAUGGUGGGCACUCUACGAGACUGCCGGUGACAACCGGAGGAAGGGGGGAUGACGUCAAUCAUCAGGCCCUUCCGCCUGGGCUACCCCCUUCUACAAGGUCGGUACAAAGGUUGCCACCCCCCGGGG
rnacentral:rRNA from 1 species